UCUGGAGAAGGAAAUGGGGGGAACGAGAYCAGCCAUUCUGCAAUUGCCCUUUCAAGAUUCAAAGAAAGCAGCAUACCAAAAGAAGAGGAGGCUGGAAUUUGGGACUUCUGAGCUCUAAAAUUCUGGAAGGCAGGAAGAAGGAGAGGUGCCUCAGCAUCAAAAUCUGUGACUUACCCCAGGGUGAGCGCUUCUCAUGCUUGGAGUUCCCUGAAUUUCCACGCUUCACCAUUUUGUAGGAGAUGAAGUGAGGAAAGCAGACAUCCUGAAGACAACAAAGAYUGUAGGGGUCUUCCAGGAGGAGAGGCAUAAGGAAAAACUUCUGGGUUGAACAUGGAAGACACAUCCCAACCAGGACUGAGCAAACGGAUGGGACCGUCAUUGCCU